CGCCGCGGUUAUACGAGCGACCCAAAUUAAUAAAAAAACGGCGUAAAGAGUGCAUAAGAAAGACCUUCUCCUAUUAAAACUGAAGUAGUGCUUAACUGUUAUACGUGUUCGCACCCAUGAAAAACAAUUACGAAAGUAAUUUUAUAAAAAUAGACCUCUUAAAACACGAUAGCUAAAGAA
rnacentral:rRNA from 1 species